AUGGCAGGAGCCGGGGGUGGGGGCGCGGAGGCACGAUGCGCGCAGGCAGCGGCGGGCACGAGCCCAGUGCCUGGAGAAGGAGGAGCUAGCCUGAGAAGGAGGGCUAAUGAGGUUCCUAGGAAUAGGAGACCCCCAACCCCCAAUCCUGGUCAAGCCACCGCUGCCCUCUGGGCACCUGGGGCAGCGCAGCUGGAGAGGCGCGGGGCGUCCCAGUGAGCCCCGGAGAGCCGCUGCCCGCGCCCACACCGCGCUGGAGGAGCAAAGCCCACGCCCCGCCUGGAGCUGCUCUCCGAAGGCCACGAGCUUCCUGAUGUGAGGGUUAGGGGGGCGCUGCUGGUGUGUGUGGGUGAGGAUCCCAGAAUGGUACGUGUCUGUGAGGCCCUAGGUCCCGCGGACCGUUCCCUGCCGCUGGUCCUUGGACUUCAUCCCCGGUGGAGCAAUGUGGCUGCCUGGAAGAGCUCUCUGUGGAACAGAGUGAGUUAACUGCCUGAACUUGGAGAGCCUGGCCUGGUGUUGGUGACUAAGCUUUUUCUACCUGCUUCCCUUGGAACAUGUCCUGGAGAAGAUGACCCUGAAAACUGAUAGCUAAUUGGUUGCCAGUAAAUCCAUCCCAUCCAUGCUUGGCCAGUGCAGAAACCUCUUGUGUUGAGCCCAUUUGAUUUACUCAUCCAAAUUGGAUUGGAGCAAGAGGAACAUUGCCUCUCUAGGAUCCAAGGCCAUAUGAUUUCCAAGACUAAAAGAAAGCAGAAAAAUUUGUAGACCUUUUAUUUCUGUUGUAUUUUUCUUAUAUCUCAUAACACUGUGUAACUUUUUAAAAUAUGGUUAAAAACUGUUGCUUUCAUUUCUACAGAUGAAUUGUUUCUGCUUUUCCAACACCUCUGUGCGCCUACAGGAAGUCAUAACACUUGAAAAUUUCUUAUAGUAAGCAAAUGGUAUAUAGUUAAGAGUAUAUUGUAGGUGAUUCUUUUUACAGUAUAGGGCAGCUAGUAUAGAGACAACUGGUCAACCUUCAGAGCAUAAAAGACUGUGGAAUUAUCAACUCUAAAUAAGUCAGCUACAUCACACCACUCCUUUUAAGUGUCAGGGGCCAUAACAGAAAAGAGAGUUGAACAACUGUAAGAGACAGAGGCAGUAGAAAUCUGUUAGACAGGACAAGGUCAUUGCACACAUGGACUCAUAAGAGCUGUGACUGAAUGUACAAGACCUGCACAAGAUCAAACUAGACAAAUGCUAGCAAAUGAUCAUGAAGUCCCUGCCCACACUGAAAAACUACGGGCAACUGAUGGCUGCCUGGGGGAGAGAGUAAGUUUUCUUCAGGGAUGAGGCCAAAAGACCACCCAUGCUCCAAAAGAUAACCCUACAACCAAGUUCAUAUAGACAAGAACUAAGUGGAUUUAGUGGGUUAAAAAAAUGAGCAUAUGAAGUUAGGAGGUGAAAUUGUUCAGAGAGAUUGUGCAGGAAUUCGAGGGUGGGGAAAAGGGAGUGGAUUUGAUCAAAAUAUAUUGCAUGCAUGUAUAAAAUUCCUAAACAACUAUUCAAAGUUUAUAAAAAGAUAAUAUAUGAUUGUUAAAACAAUAUGUGUAUAAUAAAAAGCUAUGUUAAAUAACUGAUUAAGUAAAAUAAAUGAGAACACUUUAAUAGCA